GUGCCUGUUUUGGCAGCACAGAUACUAAAAUGGGAAUGCUGCAGAGAAGAUCAGCAUGGCUCUCGUGCAAAGAUGACACUCAAAUUCAUGAAGUGUCCCAUAUUUGA